UCUGCAGCGCUGCUGAAAGGACCAGCCAUUUUCCUCCCAGGCAGCAGUGUGCUGUGUUAUGCCCUGCUAUAUCCUUUAUUUACAGGGCAUAAAUCACAUCUACUGAGGGCUUCAGGAGGACAGCAGGGCUUGCUGAUCAUCACUGCGGCUGAGAAUGCCUCCAAGUCCCUGCUUUGAUGAGCUGCUGACUGCUUGUACUAGGAGCUGAUUGCAGAAGAUGGAAUGCAGGCUGAUAAUGCUGCAUAUCCUUUAUCAGGCAGUGGAGUAGGGGUUUUUUGUCUUGUAAAGGCAAGGUUUCCCUGCAACGUUAUCUGAAGGGCUCAGUAUUAGCUGCUCACAGGGGAAGCUUAGUGACCCGAACAAAGGGUGUUGCCCUUUUUGUAAUCUGUGCUUUUUUUUUUUUUUUUUCUUAAUACAAGAAGACAGCAGUAGAGAAGAAGCAGGUGUAUCACUCAUCUAGGCUCUGAGCUCCAAUACACAGCCCCUGCACCGGCUCUGGUAUUACCUUACCCUUCCUGGACAGGUCCUUCCUGAACACUUUCACUGGGGGAUCAAGGUACACAUCGCUGCGAUCUCCAACUACCUGCAUAACAAGAAUUCUCUGAGAGCAGAUCACGGCAGCUUCUUGGAGAACUACAGUUCUACUGACAGCAUCCGCAGAUGAUUUUCUAAAGUACAUAGAGUUUCAUUGAAAGAUCUAAGUUGGGCUCAAUUCUGUUCAAUCAAGUGUGGCAAACGGAGCACAGGAUUCCUUCACAUCUGAUUAGAUAGGUUUGAAGCAAGCAGAUCUGACAAGCUGGACAGGGUGUUAAGG